rnacentral:rRNA from 1 species
CGGGGGGGCAAGCGUUGUUCGGAAUUACUGGGCGUAAAGGGCUCGUAGGCGGCCAACUAAGUCCGACGUUAAAUCCCCAGGCUUAACCUGGGAACUGCGUCGGAUACUGGAUGGCUUGAAUUCGGGAGAGGGAUGCAGAAUUCCAGGUGUAGCGGUGAAAUGCGUAGAUAUCUGGAGGAAUACCGGUGGCGAAGGCGGCAUCCUGGACCGACAUUGACGCUGAUGAGCGAAAGCUAGGGGAGCAAACGGGAUUAGAUACCCCGGUAGUCCUAGCCCUAAACGAUGAAUGCUUGGUGUGGCGGGUAUCGAUCCCUGCCGUGCCGAAGCUAACGCAUUAAGCAUUCCGCCUGGGGAGUACGGUCGCAAGGCUG